GACGAACGCUGGCGGCGUGCUUAACACAUGCAAGUCGAACGAAGUGGCGAACGGGUGAGUAAUACGUGGGUAACCUGCCCUCCUUUUUGGGAUAAGCCUUGGAAACGGGGUCUAAUACCGAAUAAAGGGGGAUGGGCGCGUGGCCUAUCAGCGUGUUGGUGUGGGUAUGGCCGACCAAGGCGGUGACGGGUAGCGGGACUGAGAGGGGAACCAGCAACAUGUGGACUGAGAUACGGCCCAGACUCGUAAGGGAGGCAGAAGUUUGGGAUAUUGCACAAUGGGCGAAAGCCGGAUGCAGCGACGCCGCGUGGGGGCGGAAGGCUUUAGGGUUGUAAACCUCUGUAGGUAUCCAACGGGUAGGUGGAGAAGAAGCGCCGGCUAACUACGUGCCAGCAGCCGCGGUAAUUC
rnacentral:rRNA from 1 species